UAAUGCCGGAUGCUCCAGUUGAUCGCAUGGUCUUCUGGGAAAGCUUUCGCGGUAUGGGAUGGGGUCGCGUCCUAUCAGCUUGACGGCGGGGUAACGGCCCACCGUGGCUUCGACGGGUAGCCGGCCUGAGAGGGCGACCGGCCACAUUGGGACUGAGAUACGGCCCAGACUCCUACGGGAGGCAGCAGUGGGGAAUAUUGCACAAUGGGCGCAAGCCUGAUGCAGCGACGCCGCGUGAGGGAUGGAGGCCUUCGGGUUGUAAACCUCUUUUAUCGGGGAGCAAGCGAGAGUGAGUUUACCCGUUGAAUAAGCACCGGCUAACUACGUGCCAGCAGCCGCGGUAAUACGUAGGGUGCAAGCGUUAUCCGGAAUUAUUGGGCGUAAAGGGCUCGUAGGCGGUUCGUCGCGUCCGGUGUGAAAGUCCAUCGCUUAACGGUGGAUCCGCGCCGGGUACGGGCGGGCUUGAGUGCGGUAGGGGAGACUGGAAUUCCCGGUGUAACGGUGGAAUGUGUAGAUA
rnacentral:rRNA from 1 species